AAAGAAUUCAUUCCCAAAUUAUUUCUCAUCUUCUAUAUUAGUACGAAGCAAUUACAUCAUUAUUCCAACCAACAACAGAGAGCAUCAUAUCAUAUAGGAAACUACACAUUCUUUACAACAAUAUGUUAUAGCUAUAUCCAAUUUCUCAUAUCAAUAUGUUAUAGCUAUGGUAUCAAUAUAUUAUAGCUAUAUCCAAUUUCAUAACAAUAUACACUUUUAUAAAAACAAUAGAUUUCGAAUCAAACUCUUUUCCAGACGAAAAUUGAGCAGAAUCAAAUUUAUGUUUAAAUUGAAGCAAAGUAGAUGUACAUUGUAUGUUGGCAUAGAUUAAAAGUAGCAAAAGCCAUUUGAAAAAUUGGCCAUAAAACACUAGUCAUCUUCUUCCAAUCAGCUAACCCAGGAUCCAAAUCAGCGCUCGUCGCCGCGAAAUCUCACAGCCGUCGGUCGGUCGAGCAUUAGGUAUCCGACGAUGGCUUCACUUUCUCCUUGAGGAACUGCAGAAUGUGCUCUCGUUUCCAGUUAUCAACUCUGCAUUUUACACAGACAAAGUUCCUCGUCUGAAUAGACAUACCUUGCUUGUCGCAUCGUCUGAAUCCUCAGCGCAACACUUCAGACAACACCUCUGCAGUGAAUCAAAACCGUAAACCAUCACUGUAACAUGGAUAAAAUUCUCAAAUCGAUAAUUUUCUCAAACUGCAUAUAAUUUGUCGUGGUUUCAAAACGCAGUCUCUCCAACAUUGUCGCGUCUGUAUGUAAAAUCUACAGAUACGGAAAAAAUUCUAUAUGGAUCUUAUCAACCUCUCCAUGCAUUUGCACAUUUCAAUAAAAGUUUCUUGAUUUCGAAAUUGCCAAUGAUUUGCCACACAAAAAGAAGAAAAAGAAAAAAGGUCUCUUCCCAAGAGAGUUAUCACAAAUCUGUUACUAUGUAAACACAAGGUUCUAUGAAAUUCGGUCAAUAAGCUUAUUCUCGUUAAGUAUUCAAAAACUCUCUCUCAGCCUCGUUUUCCUAAAAAGAAUCCAUAGAUACGGAGAUAAGCCUACACCAAUUGUUUGGUCUGACACUUUUUAACUUCAAAAGAUGGACGGCACUCCAUGACAUGUUGCAAGAUUCUAACGACUAAGGUUUCGAACCUCCAACACUUGCUUUCUAGAAUGAAGAUUAUAUACUAUCUCAUUAUUUUUCUUCAUCAUUAUUAUUCAUUCGAAUCUACUUUCACUUCUUCGUCUCGUCCUCAUCCUUAUAAAGUAUUCAAUUUGUCAUUUUUGUCUAUUUUUAUAAAACUAAUUUAAAUUUUUUUUUGGGAAGUUUUCCACUCAUAAUAAAAUCAGAUCUUAUGAGACUAUUACUUUAUUCACAACAUAUUUAGUUAUUUUAUUAAAAUUCAUACACAAUUGUCAUUUUGGGCGUCUGCAAAAAGUAUGUCACUUUUCUUUUUAAGACAUGGUCUCACAUCUUGUACUUAUAAUUCAUCUUUACAAAUACCCUUUACUUACAAAAAAAAAAAUUCAACUCUUAUUCAAUUUCAACCACUGGUUUCAGAUAACGGUAGAACCCUUUCUCCACUACAUAAAAAUCAAUAACCGUUUCAUUAAAUCCCGUACACAACCAAAAUUACAUACUCUUGACAAACGGAGGAACACUUUUUAUAAGGACAGAUGGGACGUAGCCAGACUUUUCAGUCAGGGGGGGCCAAAUACUCUCUUAGUUCCAACUAACUUCGUAAAUAUUUUUUCUUUUUACCGUCUCAAUUAAGAUGAUCAAUUUUCUUAUAUGGAAUAAAUAUAUAUAAGCAAAAAAAAAAUUAAUCACUUAUUUCACUUUAUUACCAAAGACACUUAAAAUACUAAGUUCUUAAAUUUUCUGUCGAAAAUAAGUUGAUCAACUUAGCUGAGACGAAGAAAGUAAUAAUCAUAAUAUUAUAAAAGACUCCGAAUAUUAGCAAUUUCAAUAAAAUCAUAAUGCUACAUUAGUUGCACCAUAAUAUUACAAAAAUAAAAAUAAAUAUUCUACCAUCAUAAAAUUUCUCUUCUAUUUAAUUUUCAUGUUUUGAAAUCGCUACAUAAUCGUUUCAUUAGUACAUAUUUACAAAUUCAUCAUUUCUGAUGUAAGAUAUUAGACAAUCAUUCGAUAACGUAUCUCAUAUACGAUUGAGUAGAGAGAAAUUGGAAUUAUUACUAAAAAUAAUACUAAUAUUUAUGUAUUUAUUUAAUAUUAAAUAUAAAAUUAUGAAAAUACCCCUAAUAUUUUUAAAAUUUUCAAUGGGGCCCAGUGGGGGCACUGCCCCCCCUCGGCUACGUCACUGGGAGGGAUUAUAUUAAUACUACCCUUUCCUUUCCUGACAAGGGAUCAAAAGGACAAGUCAUCGUUGAAAGAAAACAACAGGAUAGAACAAAGCAAGAACGAAGAAACUCUUCGAAAGCUCUUCUACAAAUCCCCCACCAAAACGCUCAUCAGCUAACUGGUCAAAGUCAAAGUAUUAGAAAACGCGUGUGCGAAGGCAUAUAAUUAUUGACUUUUCGUCUCCGGAGUGGUUCAGAAAUAAUGAGGGUGAAUUACUGUGUGAGCCAGCAGCUCAACACACAAUAAAAUAAGUAGUGAAAGCGAGUUGAAUAUUUGAUAAAUUCAAAGUUUGAAAUAUAAAAAAUGAAAAAGGAAAACCAUAUCUUGCAUCACUCAUCCAAUUCUGCUCCUUAAUCCUCUCUCUCACUGAAUUUCUCUGUUUCUCUCUCUAAGUUAUCAGCUACCACAAAGCAAGGAAGCAGCAGUCCUUAAAGCGCAGUAGGGAAGGUGAAGUUGAAUUUCGAUUCUGCUUGUUGAUUGUGUGCAGUGAAAUUUGAGAUUUUUUUCUUCUUCUGUUUUUUGGUGUUUCCUUUUGUACUAAUUAUCAUGUUUGCCUAUGGAAAUCAAUCAUUUUCUUCGUGUGAUAUAUUACUCUAUUCAAUUGUGUGUGCCAGCAGCAGCGUGGGGAAUAAUUCCAUACACUUUGAAACAAGUAGUGAAAGUUUAGGUUUGCUCUUAUGAGAUUUGAUACUUUUAAUUUGUGUCAGGAAAAGAAAUUAAUAAAUUUUUGUUAGGAUAAAUCUUUUCAUACAUAGUAUGUAUAAACAUAAUAGGAUAUUUUAGUAAAUUAUCAUUAACUAAAAUGUGUUUUUACAUUUAUAGCCUUGACCGAGUUUUAUGAAAAGAAAUUAAUUAUCAAAUUUCAAAUAUCAAAAUAAAUUUCUUUUCUUAAUAAUUAAAUAUCAUUUCCCUAUACAGAUUAAAUUAAUUAUACUAUGUUUAACUAAUUAAUUACUGCCUAAUAUACAUUGAUUUAUUUUUGGAUAUACUAACUUGAUUUGCUUUAAAUAGUGAAAUAUAUUGUGCCCUAAAUAAUACUCCCUCCGUCCCAAUAAAAGUGGCCACUUUUUUUUGGGCACGGAGAUUAAGAAGGAGAUUGUUAUGUUUUAAUUGAGUGUGACCCACCAAAAUUAGUGAGUAAUUUUUAGAAAGUGGCCUACAAUUGUUGACCAAAUUAGUGAGUAAUUUUGACAUUUUUAGAAAGUGACCUACAAUUGUUGACCAAAUUAGUGAGUAAUUGUUGACUUAAUUAAAGUAAAGUUUUGCCAUUUUUAGAAAGUAGCCACUUUUAAUGGGACACCCAAAAAGGAAAUGUGGCCACUUUUAUUGGGACGGAGGGAGUAAUAAUAAUAAUAAUAAUAAUAAUAAUAAUAAUAAUAUGUCGGUAAACACUAAUACUAAAAUUAAACAUAUCCAUUGCUUAAAAGCCAAAGAAACCAAGCUUGCUUGCUUUCUCUUUCGCAAUCGUCUCAAAAUAUUGAUAGAUACUCCCAUGAAACAUUAAUUUUAUUCUAUAAAUAAUUUUAGAAUAUCAGAUUUUCUACCUAUUAACUGGAAGCAAUUAAUAUAUAUUGUUGGUUAAUGGAAUUGACUUCUAGGAAAGGAUUUAGGAGAGUGGUUGGCGGCUAGGGUAAUUUGGGAUUAAAACAAAAUUAUACUUUUCUAUUUAAAUUAUUAAGGUAAUUUGGGAUUUAGGAGAGUGGUUGGCGGCUAGUAUGUAUGAAUAGCACUACCGUUUUUGUUAUUCAUCUUUUUCCAUGGAUAAAUUUAUCAAUCAAAAUAAACCCAGCCUAAUUGAAAAAAACACAUUAUAAAGAGUUAAUGUAUAUAAAUUUCUAUGUAACCAAUUUAUAAAGAGACCAUGUUUCUAUAUUUUAAUACGUUUACCACAUUGUUAAAAUAUUAACUAAAUACUACAGUAUGUUCAACAAUUUUUUAUAUUAACAUCAAAUCAUUCACGAGCUGACUAUUCAAAGUCAAAGUGUUAAAAAAAGUGUCGGCAAGAAUUGAAAUAUAUAAAAAGAAAAAGGAAAACCAUAUCUAGAAUGAAAGGCUGUAUACUCUUCAGUUUGAUCACUCAUCCAAUUCUAUUCCUUAUCUCUCUCUCUCUCUCUCACUCAAAUUCUCUCUUUCUCUCUUUGAGUUAUCAGCUAGCACAAAGCAUGGAAGCAGCAGCUGCUACCGCCGUCCUUAAAGUUCUAAUUGAAAAACUGAUCAACCUCCCCAUGAAAGAGUUCUCUCAAAUCCGAGGUUUCCGCAAAAAUGCAGAAAAGCUAGCUGGAAGUCUCGACAUGAUCAAAAAUUUCUUGAACGAUGCUGAGAUGCGUGCCAUCACCACCGAUGCUGCUGUCAAGAGCUGGUUGAAGAAGCUUGAAGACGUGGCGUUCGAUGCUGACAAUGUUUUGGAUGAAAUCAACUAUCAUAUUCUCUCCAAACAAAUUAAGGCCACUAAACCCAUGAAGGCGAAGAUAUUAUCAGGCUUCUCAUCAUCCGUCAAUUCUAUUGCGCGUCCGAGAAAUAUGGCUGUUAGAAUCAAGAAAAUCAAUGAGAAUUUGGAGUCCAUUAAGAAAGAGGCCACCGACCUUGGCCUCGUAGUGAGGCUUGCCAUUGCCAAUGAGCCCACUUUGGUUGAUGCUUCUUUGGAAACUGAUUCGUACACUCUUGAUCCAAUUUUUAUUGGAAGAGAUGAUGUUGUGUCGGAAAUAGUUGAGAUGCUUACCAAUAGCAUCACAACUGAUGAACGCGCAGUUUCCAUCAUUUCCAUUGUCGGGAUGGGGGAUUGGGGAAGACGACAUUGACUAGGAAAGUUUUNNNNNNNNNNNNNNNNNNNNNNNNNNNNNNNNNNNNNNNNNNNNNNNNNNNNNNNNNNNNNNNNNNNNNNNNNNNNNNNNNNNNNNNNNNNNNAAUAUGAAGGUGGCUUCAAUUGUGAAUUCAGUUCAUAUACAUGAGUUGAAAGGCUUAUCGGAGGAAGAGUGUUGGUCGAUAAUAAGAGCAAAAGCCUUCGGAAAAAAAGAUGUUCCAUCAGAAUUUGAGGCCACUGGGAGAAAGAUAGCAAGAAGGUGUCAAGGUUUGCCAUUAGCUGCCAACAUAGUUGGGGGAGUGCUACGCAAUAAAUCUGAGGAGAAAUGGCGUUCAGUCGAGGAGAAAUGGCUUUCAGCCGAUGAAGGAGGAGAUAAUAUCACAAAUAUGUUGAGACUGAGCUUCGAUAAUUUGUCUCUGCCAUCACUUAAAAAGUGCUUUGCGUACUGUGCGAUGUUUCCUAAAGGCUCCAAAAUCAUGAAACAGGAACUGAUUGAGUUUUGGAUGGCAGAAGGUUUUCUUCAAGCUGAUGGAAGGGAUGACAUGGAGACCGUGGGCGAGAAAUUUAUCAACGUUCUUCUGCACAACUCUUUACUGCAAGUUUCAAAGAGAGAUGAUGACGGAAAUGUAAAAGAGUGUGGCAUGCAUGAUCUUGUGCACGAUCUCGCUUGUUCUGUUUCAAGCUCCUCUAACAGUACAGGUGGUAGCAGCCGAGUUCGAUACAUGAUUCUCAGAGCCCACAAUCGUGGAGACGAAUCAAGUCGUAUCCCAAAAGAAAUGGCAAAGUCUUUACGUACAUUACUAAUAACAUCGGAAUGUGAUAUUUCUGAUAUCAACUUCUUAGACUUGGAAAGUCUGCAUGUUUUACGUCUUCAAAGUUAUAGAGUGCCAAGUUCGAUUCGGAAGUUGAUACAUUUGAGAGAUUUUGACAUUAGUUCAAAGACGAAAAUUGAAGUUUUGCCGGAUUGGAUUGGUGAAUUCUUUCACUUGCAGACGUUGAGAGUAGACUCAAAAUAUUUGAGAAAACUGCCAAGUACGAUUAAGUACUUGAUUAACUUGAGGCAUCUUUAUAUUAAGGAGUGGGUAGAGUUGCCGAUGGAAAUUGGGAGAUUAACUUCUCUCCAAACGCUGAAGUACUUUUCAGUGGCCGACGAGAAUGGCUGCAAAAUUGAAGAGCUCGGAAGUUUGAAUAAUCUUAAAGGAAAGUUACAAAUUCGGAAUCUGGAAAGGGUUAAUGACAAGGAAGAGUCUGGGAAAGCCAAUUUAUUCAAAAAGUCAAAAAUAUUGAAGUUGCGUUUGGAAUGGGAUAGAUAUGUCAGAAGAGAAGGUGGAACAUAUGAUGAGGAUGUAUUGGAAGGCCUUCAACCUCACUCCGAUCUGAGGGAGUUAACUAUCCAGCUAUACAAAGGCAAAAGAUUUCCAUUAUGGACUCAGAAGAUGUCAGUUCAAUAUGCGCCUCAAGGCUCUUGGGUGCUACUUACAAUUAAUGUCGUUAUCACUCAUUCUGCAGAAUGUGAAGAAUCCCAAUGUUGGGACACUUACCAAAGCUCAAGUCCCUUAGGUUGAAGGAUUGAGAAAUUUGAAGUGUAUAAAUUCAUCAUUCUACGGAAUGGUGAACAAGGACACACGCAUUGUUUUUCCAGCACUCGAGACCUUCGAAUUGUAUCGCAUGCCUAAGCUGGCAGAGUGGGCAGAAAUAGAAAUUUCGGAUGGAAGUGAAGUGAAGCUAUUUCCUCGCCUCCAACAUUUGAAAAUUGAGUAUUGCUACCAAUUGAUGAGUGUUCCAAGUCAUGUCUCGUCAUGCCUUCAACAAUUGGAGAUUUAUAAGAUCGGUGUGGAAUGUCUGCCAGCUGAUUGGAUAUUCAGUAAUAGCGAGACUCUCUCGAAGUUGUAUAUAGAGGACUGCCCGGAUUUGAGAGAAAUAUCAGAUAGGUGGGGAGAAGAAGAAUCAGAAGGAAGAAGCUUCACAAUCACAUCCCUCCCUAAAUUCCCUCUUAACACAUUUGCAAAUCGAAGGCGUUCCUAACUUAAGUUUGGAGACUGUGGAUGCAAUGCGGCGCCUCCAAAUUCAUGGAAACAAACACAUUGACCCGUGACGGUGAGUAUCAAUAUCUUUUCUAGAAACAGUUGCAUGUGUAUUUUAUUUGAAGAAAAUUCUAAAUUGAGAUUCAACGUACCACACUUGAUGCCCCACUUUCAGUUUUAUUUAUAUUUUUCUCUAAUUUCAACUUUGAAUGCUUUAGUUUAAUUUUGUGAUUAUUAAUUAGGGUUCAUUCCAUCUAAUUAGGGUAUGUAAUUAUUUUUUAUCAUUUAAUUUCACUUUUAUUAGUUAAUAAUAGGUUGAAAAAUUCAAAAUCAUGGUAUAUAAUUUUAUAAAAAAUUAAUUUUUUAAAUAAAUAUUAAGAAUAAUUCAUAGUAUUAUAAUUUUAUUUUUAUAAAAAAUAUUACUCCCUUCGCCCUCAUAUUUAUGCAUAUCUUUUCUUUUUGAAAUGUCCCCCAAAUUUAUGCAUACUAUAUUUUUGGACACUACCCCACACAUAAUUCCUACAAUUUAAUCCUUCUAACUUAUACUCCCUCUGUCCCAGCUGAAAUGUCCUGCUUUCCUUUUUGGGUUGUCCCACUUGAAAUGUCAUGUUUCCUUUUUUGGCAAUACACUCUCUCUCUAUACUUAAUAUUUAAAUAAUUUCCACCAACCCACAUUAUCUACUUUAUACACAUUUCUUAAUCUCCGUGCCGAAAAGAAACAAGACAUUUCAGCUGGGACGGAGGGAGUACUAUUUACCCGUAAUCUACUUAACAAUCCCCUCAAUGUGUGAUUUAUUCUCUACUAUCAAUAUUUCAAACAACUUUUUAUUAAAACUCGUGUCGUGGUCAAUCAUGCAUAUUUAGGGACAUAGACUAUUAAAAUAAUAGAUAUAAGAAUAAAAUAUAGUGACAUACAUAAAAUUGUGGAACAAUGAAUCUAAUCCCUUAGUUUGGUGCUCCACUUCAUCUCAAUAUGCUUAAACAAUAGGAGAUUAAUUAUUUUGAGUUUUUUUACUAUAUUUUUACAGAGACUCAUCAUCUUAGCUUUCUUUUCCAUUAAUUCUUUUUUGCGUUGAUACAGUUAUUCUGAGGAAAGUGAAGAGUCUAGUGAAGAAGGAAUAAGUGAGUAUCCCAUUUUCUCCAUGAUGACUUAAGUUGCUCAACCUCUUUUCAUAAUUUUUUUGUAAUUCCAUAUAUAUUCUUUCUUUAAACUUUAGUUGAUAGGAUUAUUAUGUCGAUGGUUGAAGACGAUGCAUGUUUGGAUACCUAAUUUGUUUCACAAUUCAUAUGAUUCUCGAAGACUACAAACUUUAUUGAAACGAUGAAAUUCGAAAGAGUCUUUUUCUGGGAAAGAGCUAAUAUGAAAUUUAGUUUAAUCCCUUGGAUCUUGGCUAAAGUGAAUCCUGUAUAGUUGAUUUGUUGUCUCAUGAUUUCAGGUGGAUUUGGAGGGGCAUUUUUUGUAACUGUCAAGCUCUUAUUGAGCCAUUUUGAGCUUUGUUAUAGAUUUUCUAAUAGAAUCAAAUAAAUUUCAAAAUGACAUGAGGAUAUAUGAGAUCCAUUAAUAUAAUUUGUGUAGGACUAAAUGUCUAUCUCUCAAGCAUGUGUCUAUUGUUCUGUUUAUGGUUUGUUUUUAUGAUUUUUUCUUCAAAAGCUAUUAAUUUGAUAUCAUUAUAUCCACACUCCAGAGUCCACCUUAUUGCAGGUUGUUUAUUGUUAGUUACGUCCCAUCAAACUUGAACUAUCUGUUAUUGUUUUAACCUCCAUGGCAGUAAUAGGGGAGCUUUUGAAGAGCUUGGAGGCGAGGCAGCCUCAACUAGAGGCGCCAACGAGCUUGCUCGUGGGGACGAACGACGACAGUGUAGUUGUUGACUGUGAAGAGAAGGAUGAUGACAAAAAUUCAGACAACAAUGUUGAAGAUGAAGAUAGUGAAACAGAGGAUUCAGCACUGUGGAAGUUGAACUCAAUCCAAAAACAAGGGAAAAGGAAUGUAUGAGAAGAAAAACUCAAAUUUCUGAAUGUCAAUACUCAGUUCGACUCGAUUUGAUCACGCCGUUUAAUUAAAAUUCGAGCAUGAUUCUAUAAUGAAUGAAUUAAAUUUGAGCAUGUCAAUACUCAGCUCGGCUCGGCUCGACUUUAUUACACCCUUGACACGAUUCAUUUUGUGUUAGCUAAAAUAUCCACACAACAAGGGAUUAAAAAAAAAGCUUUUGCAAAAAGAAUUCAUUCCCAAAUUAUUUCUCAUCUUCUAUAUUAGUACGAAGCAAUUACAUCAUUAUUCCAACCAACAACAGAGAGCUCAUAUCAUAUAGGAAACUACACAUUCUUUCAACAAUAUGUUAUAGCUAUAUCCAAUUUCUCUAUCAAUAUGUAUAGCAUGGUAUCAAUAUAUUAUAGCUAUAUCCAAUUUCAUAACAAUAUACACUUUUAUAAAAACAAUAGAUUUCGAAUCAAACUCUUUUCCAACGAAAAUUGAGCAGAAUCAAAUUUAUGUUUAAAUUGAGCAGUAUUGGCAUACAUUAGUGAAGCCAUUUGAAAAUGGCCAUAAAACACUAGUCAUCUUCUUCCAAUCAGCUAACCCAGAUCCAAAUCAGCGCUCGUCGCCGCGAAAUCUCACAGCCGUCGGUCGGUCGAGCAUUAGGUAUCCGACGAUGGCUUCACUUUCUCCUUGAGGAACUGCAGAAUGUGCUCUCGUUUCCAGUUAUCAACUCUGCAUUUUACACAGACAAAGUUCCACGUCAAGCAAAUGAACUUGCCGAAUUCAAGACCUCAAUCGAGGUUUG
rnacentral:lncRNA from 1 species